UUUUGGACAAUGGGGGAAACCCUGAUCGAGCAAUCCCGCGUGUAUGAUGAAGGCCUUCGGGUCGUAAAGUACUUUUGUCAGAGAAGAACAGGUACCGUCUAAUACGACGUAUUUGUGACGGUACCUGCAGAAUAAGCACCGGCUAACUACGUGCCAGCAGCCGCGGUAAUACGUAGGGUGCAAGAGUUAAUCGGAAUUAGUGGGCGUAAAGCGUGUGUAGGCGGUGCGGAAAGAAUGAUGUGAAAAACCAGGGCGCAAACUUGGAACAGCAUUUUUAACUGCCGAGCUAGAGUAUGUCAGAGGGGGGUAGAAUUCCACGUGUAGAAGUGAAAAGCGUAGAUAUAUGGAGGAAUACCGAUGGCGAAGGCAGACCCCAGGGAUAAUACUGACACUCAGACACGAAAGAGUGGGGAGCAAACA
rnacentral:rRNA from 1 species